rnacentral:lncRNA from 1 species
CAGAGUGGUGGGGGUCAAAUGUGGGGGAAAGAACUGGGAUCAAGGUCUACGUGAAGGAUGAUGUGGCAGCAGGCAUCAAGACAGAAAGGAAGAGGCAAAUGCAUGAAAUCUUCAGAAGUCUAGAAAAGAGCAUCAACUGGACUUGGGAACUGAAUGUGGAGGCUCCGGAUCCAAGACCUCGAAGAGCAGCUCAGGCUGACUGCCUUGCUCAGGGAGGCUGGCCCUCAACAAGAAACAGGAAUUAAGAAAGUAGACAGCUUUGGGAGAAGGGGAGAACACACAGAUGAAAUUAAUAUGCCCCCAAAUUGGAAGCUUUGGAAAAGGGAGGAAUGAAUGCAGCCAGAGAGUAAGAGUGCCGUCACGUCAAA